rnacentral:rRNA from 1 species
UACGUAGGGGGCAAGCGUUAUCCGGAUUUACUGGGUGUAAAGGGAGCGUAGACGGAAUUGCAAGUCUGAUGUGAAAAUCCGGGGCCCAACCCCGGAACUGCAUUGGAAACUGUAUUUCUAGAGUGUCGGAGAGGCAAGUGGAAUUCCUGGUGUAGCGGUGAAAUGCGUAGAUAUCAGGAGGAACACCAGCGGCGAAGGCGGCUUGCUGGACGAUGACUGACGUUGAGGCUCGAAAGCGUGGGGAGCAAACAGG